AUUGAACGCUGGCGGCAGGCCUAACACAUGCAAGUCGAACGAGUGGCGGACGGGUGAGUAAUGUCUGGGAAACUGCCUGAUGGAGGGGGAUAACUACUGGAAACGGUAGCUAAUACCGCAUACCAUCAGAUGUGCCCAGAUGGGAUUAGCUUGUUGGUGGGGUAACGGCUCACAAAGGCGACGAUCCCUAGCUGGUCUGAGAGGAUGACCAGCCAAACUGGGACUGAGACACGGUCCAGACACCUACGUGAGGCAGCAGUGGGGAAUAUUGCACAAUGGGAGCAAGCCUGAUGCAGCCAUGACGCGUGUAUGAAGAAGGCCUUAGGGUUGUAAAGUACUUUCAGCGGUGAAGCGUGACCCGCAGAAGAAGCACCGGCUAACUCCGUGCCAGGCGCAGCGGUAAUAC
rnacentral:rRNA from 1 species